rnacentral:rRNA from 1 species
UACGAAGGGGGCUAGCGUUGCUCGGAAUUACUGGGCGUAAAGGGCGCGUAGGCGGAUAUUUAAGUCGGGGGUGAAAGCCCAGGGCUCAACCCUGGAACAGCCUUCGAUACUGGAUAUCUUGAGUACGGGAGAGGUGUGUGGAACUCCGAGUGUAGAGGUGAAAUUCGUAGAUAUUCGGAGGAACACCAGAAGCGAAGGCGGCUCACUGGCCCGAUACUGACGCUGAGGCGCGAAAGCGUGGGGAGCA